AGCUAAUGGCAAAGCUGUCGAAAGACAGUGACGCAAAACUAUAGGGCCUUCCUACUCGGAUGGCAGCCAGUUACCA
rnacentral:ncRNA from 1 species